GCGCUUGUAGCUCAGUUGGAUAGAGCGUUGCCCUCCGAAGGCAAAGGUCGUGAGUUCGACUCUCGCCAAGCGCACCA
rnacentral:tRNA from 1 species